rnacentral:rRNA from 1 species
GAGGACGGAUAGAGAGACAACAUGGAAUUGGAUACCGUCAGAUCUACGGAAGGCAGACAUUGGGUAUAUUGCACCAUGGGGCCAAGCCUGAUGCAGCAUGCCGCGGUAGGAAAGAGGCCUCGGUUGUAAGUACUUCAGGAGGAGGCCGUUAAGUAUAACCUAGUCUGAUUGACGUACUCGCCAGAAGAAGGCACCUGCCUAACUCCCGUGCCAGCAGCCGGCGGUAAUACGGAGGGGUGCAAGCGUUAAUACGGAAUUACUGGGCGUAAAGCGCACGCAGGCGGUCUGUCAAGUCGGAUGUGGGGUUAAAUCCCCGGGCUCCACCUGGAACUGCAUUCGAAACUGGCAGGGCUAGAGUCUGUAGAGGGGGUAGAAUUUCCAGGUGUAGCGGUGAAAUGCGUAGAGAUCUGGAGGAAUACCGGUGGCGAAGGCGGCCCCCUGGACAAAGACUGACGCUCAGGUGCGAAAGCGUGGGGAGCAAACAGGAUUAGAUACCCUGGUAGUCCACGCCGUAAACGAUGUCGACUUGGAGGUUGUGCCCUUGAGGCGUGGCUUCCGGAGCUAACGCGUUAAGUCGACCGCCUGGGGAGUACGGCCGCAAGGUUAAAACUCAAAUGAAUUGACGGGGAAGGGCCCGCACAAGCGGUGGAGCAUGUGGUUUAAUUUGAUGCAACGCGAAGAACCUUACCUACUCUUGACAUCCAGAGAACUUAGCAGAGAUGCUUUGGUGCCUUCGGGAACUCUGAGACAGGUGCUGCAUGGCUGUCGUCAGCUCGUGUUGUGAAAUGUUAGUCCCGCAACGAGCGCAACCCUUAUCCUUUGUUGCCAGCGGUUAGGCCGGGAACUCAAAGGAGACUGCCAGUGAUAAACAGAUGGAGGAAGGUGGGGAUGACGUCAAGUCAUCAUGGCCCUUACGAGUAGGGGUACACACGUGCUACAAUGGCAUAUACAAGAAGCGACCUCGCGAGAGCAAGCGGACCUCAUAAAGUAUGUUGUAGUCCGGAUUGGAGUUUGCAACUCGACUCCAUGAAGUCGGAAUCGCUAGUAAUCGUAGAUCAGAAUGCUACGGUGAAUACGUUCCCGGGCCUUGUACACACCGCCCGUCACACCAUGGGAGUGGGUUGCAAAAGAAGUAGGUAGCUUAACCUUUGGGAGGGCGCUUACCACUUUGUGAUUCAUGAAUGGGGUGAAGUCGUAACAAAGAUAACAGG